rnacentral:rRNA from 1 species
CCUACGGGAGGCUGCAGUGGGGGAUAUUGCACAAUGGGGGAAACCCUGAUGCAGCGACGCCGCGUGUGGGAAGACGGUCCUCUGGAUUGUAAACCACUUUUGUAGAGAACGAAAAGUCUAUUGAUAAUACCGAUAGAUGAUGACGGUACUCUAAGAAUAAGCACCGGCUAACUACGUGCCAGCAGCCGCGGUAAUACGUAGGGUGCGAGAGUUAAUCGGAUUUACUGGGCGGAAAGGGGGUGCAGGCGGUUUUGCAAGAUGGAAGUGAAAGCCCCGGGCUUAACCUGGGAAAGGCAUACAUGACUGCCAGACUUGAGUGCGGGAGAGGGGGGUGGAAUUCCAAGUGUAGCAGUGAAAUGCGUAGAUAUUUGGAAGAACACCGAUGGCGAAGGCGGCCCCCUGGGACGCAACUGACGCUCAUGCACGAAAGCGUGGGGAGCAAACAGGAUUAGAUACCCUUGUAGUC